rnacentral:rRNA from 1 species
UACGUAGGGGGCUAGCGUUAUCCGGAAUUACUGGGCGUAAAGGGUGCGUAGGUGGUUUCUUAAGUCAGAGGUGAAAGGCUACGGCUCAAACCGUAGUAAGCCUUUGAAACUGAGAAACUUGAGUGCAGGAGAGGAGAGUAGAAUCCGUAGUGUAGCGGUGAAAUGCGUAGAUAUCUGGAGGAACACCGGUGGCGAAGGCGGCGAUCCUGGACCGGUAUUGGACGCUGAGGCGCGAAAGCCAGGGGAGCAAAGCGGGG